UACGUAGGGUGCAAGCGUUGUCCGGAAUCAUUGGGCGUAAAGCGCGCGUAGGUGGCUUCGUAAGUCCGUUGUGAAAGUCAAAGGCUCAACCUUUGAAAGCCGAUGGAUACUGCGGAGCUAGAGUACGGAAGAGGCGAGUGGAAUUCCUGGUGUAGCGGUGGAAUGCGCAGAUAUCUGAAGGAACAUCAGUGGCGAAAGCGAGUUCCUGGACAAAUACUGACGCUGAUGUGCGAAAGCGUGGGGAGCAAACGGG
rnacentral:rRNA from 1 species